rnacentral:tRNA from 1 species
GCCGGGGUGGCGGAACUGGCAGACGCACAGGACUUAAAAUCCUGCGGGGAGUGAUCACCGUACCGGUUCGAUUCCGGUCCUCGGCACCA